ensembl:lncRNA
CUUCUAACUCAUGUAGUUUUAAAAAGUCAUUUUCAUCAUUUCGUCUCCCGACCCACGUUGAGCUCCGCCUCGGCGAGGUCUCCUGCCUGUUUGCUGCAGAACGCCCCGGACAGCGGCCGACGGUGAUUAGGUGCUGAUACCUAUUAGCUGAAUGAGUGACUGAGAACCGGACGUAGCCUUCUCAUCAAGCCUUCAUUGUGCUGAACUGAAGUAACCAGUCCACUCGCAGCAUUCCCUCCAGCGUGCAUUGCCCAGUGGGCCCCGUGGGCACCUGAGACGUGGUCCAUGCAAGGGGAAGACCCCGGUCCCGCGGCGGCCUCAGAAGUCCCAUCUGCAAGCUGCUCUCUCACCCUGAUUGCUGGAUUCUCUCUGAUUCAGGGUAGAAACCUGCAGAAAGACUUCCCGAAUAGGAAAACCCACCAGAGCUGCAGUUUUCAGACUGGGUGGCAAAAUCAGUGGGACAAGGAGCAUUAGGAAAGGAAGAAGAAAGGAAAGAAGGAAGAAGCUGGAACAAAAGAGAAUGCAACGAUACCACCUAGGAGAAUCGGGAUUCUUUCCUGAAACUCGAAUCAUAAAAAGAAUACGGUGUGUUGUACAUUUGGAAUCGAGGUGUUGAAUACACGUCUUACUCGGGUUGCUGUCAAAAAAUGUUUGAAAGCCACUGGCCUGGACUUUUUCUUUUUCUUUCUUUUGAAUGCUUAGAGUAGAAAGGUUUGAAAAGCCAUCUAAUUUAUUUCUCUACGCCUAGACAGUAUUUCAUUUUAAGAACAGUACAGACUUUAAUUAUUUUCUUGCUUAUCGUCCCAUCUCAGCAUUUGCGCCUGAUGAUUUGUGAAUAAUUUGUCUCUUUAAAGCUAUUAUUUCAGUUGGGAAAGCGAUAAAUUAAAAUAGGAAGGCAAUUCUGCCAAGCUUCCCUUCUCUGUCUCCUCUUCUCCCCGUCAUCAGGCCGUGGACACAUUCCAAAUGCGCUGCGGGCCAAGCCUGGCAGGGUCCCCGAGCCCGCCUUCUGUCGCCCUGUCCUGUAAUCAAAUACCCCAGUGGAGCUACGGGUGGUUGUUUUGUAUUGAGGAUUGAACCCAGGGCCUUUGCACUGAAUUACUUACACCCUCAGCCCUUUUUAGUUUUCAUUUUGAGACAGGGUCUUGCCAAAUUGCCUGGCUGGGACUCCAACUUGCAGUCUUUCUGCCUCAGCCUCCCAGAGUGCAGAGCAUACAGGCUUAUACCACCACACCUUUUGUUUGUUUGUUCUUUGGUAUUAGGGAAUUGAACUCAGGACCUUGCACUUGCGAAGCAGGGCAGUACCACUGAGCUAAGUCCCCUAAGUCCCCGGCUUAAUGUUCCUUUUUUGAGUUCAAGUUCCACUAUGAAGUUCAACUUGGCCUUGAACUUGCUAUUGUACCUAGGCUGUCCUUGAACUCUCUAUCCUCCUGCUUCAGCCUCCCAAGGCAUAGGAAUACAGGUAUAUACCACCACCUCUGGCAAAUUUUAGUAUUUCUUUAUCUCAUUCCCUCUUUUUACUUAUUUUUUAAAAAAUUAUCCCCAUGGAUAGGUAAUAGAAACACCUGAUGUACUUGAAUUUGACUUUGUCCCUUCUCAGUAGGGUAGGUCCCUGUUGUGCUAAUCAGGG